UCGAACGAGAAAGCGGGGGCAACUCCGCGAGUAAAGUGGCGACCGGGUGAGUAACACGUGACUAACCUACCCUCGAGCGGGGGAUAACCCCGGGAAACCGGGGCUAAUACCGCAUAACAUCCUCGAUACGAAAGUCUUGAGGAUCAAAGGAGCAAUUCACUUGAGGAGGGGGUCGCGGCCGAUUAGCUAGUUGGUGGGGUAAUGGCCCACCAAGGCUGAGAUCGGUAGCCGGCCUGAGAGGGCGCACGGCCACACUGGAACUGAAACACGGUCCAGACUCCUACGGGAGGCAGCAGUGGGGAAUUUUGCGCAAUGGGGGGAACCCUGACGCAGCAACGCCGCGUGGAGGAUGAAGUCCCUUGGGACGUAAACUCCUUUCGACCGGGAAGAUAAUGACGGUACCGGAAGAAGAAGCACCGGCUAACUCUGUGCCAGCAGCCGCGGUAAUACAGAGGGUGCGAGCGUNGUUCGGAAUUAUUGGGCGUAAAGGGCGCG
rnacentral:rRNA from 1 species